UACGUAGGGUGCAAGCGUUAUCCGGAAUUAUUGGGCGUAAAGAGCUCGUAGGCGGUUUGUCGCGUCUGCCGUGAAAGUCCGGGGCUCAACUCCGGACCUGCGGUGGGUACGGGCAGACUAGAGUGAUGUAGGGGAGACUGGAAUUCCUGGUGUAGCGGUGAAAUGCGCAGAUAUCAGGAGGAACACCGAUGGCGAAGGCAGGUCUCUGGGCAUUAACUGACGCUGAGGAGCGAAAGCAUGGGGAGCGAACAGG
rnacentral:rRNA from 1 species